rnacentral:rRNA from 1 species
AUUGAACGCUAGCGGCAUGCCUUACACAUGCAAGUCGAACGGAGUGGCGAACGGGUGAGUAAUGUAUCGGAACGUGCCCAGUAGUGGGGGAUAACUACGCGAAAGCGUAGCUAAUACCGCAUACUAUUGGAGCGGCCGAUAUCGUAUUAGCUUGUUGGUGGGGUAACGGCUCACAAAGGAGACGAUCCGUAGCGGGUUUGAGAGGACGACCCGCCACACUGGGACUGAGACACGGCCCAGACUCCAACGGGAGGCAGCAGUGGGGAAUUUUGGACAAUGGGGGAAACCCUGAUCCAGCCAUCCCGCGUGUGAGAUGAAGGCCUUCGGGUUGUAAAGCACUUUUGGCAGGAAGGCGGUACCUGAAGAAUAAGCACCGGCUAACUACGUGCCAGCAGCCGCGGUAAUUC